rnacentral:rRNA from 1 species
AGUCGAACGGCAGCAUGAUCUAGCUUGCUAGAUUGAUGGCGAGUGGCGAACGGGUGAGUAAUACAUCGGAACGUGCCCUGUAGUGGGGGAUAACUAGUCGAAAGAUUAGCUAAUACCGCAUACGACCUGAGGGUGAAAGUGGGGGACCGCAAGGCCUCAUGCUAUAGGAGCGGCCGAUGUCUGAUUAGCUAGUUGGUGAGGUAAAGGCUCACCAAGGCGACGAUCAGUAGCUGGUCUGAGAGGACGAUCAGCCACACUGGGACUGAGACACGGCCCAGACUCCUACGGGAGGCAGCAGUGGGGAAUUUUGGACAAUGGGCGAAAGCCUGAUCCAGCAAUGCCGCGUGUGUGAAGAAGGCCUUCGGGUUGUAAAGCACUUUUGUCCGGAAAGAAAUGGCUCUGGUUAAUACCUGGGGUCGAUGACGGUACCGGAAGAAUAAGGACCGGCUAACUACGUGCCAGCAGCCGCGGUAAUACGUAGGGUCCAAGCGUUAAUCGGAAUUACUGGGCGUAAAGCGUGCGCAGGCGGUUGUGCAAGACCGAUGUGAAAUCCCCGAGCUUAACUUGGGAAUUGCAUUGGUGACUGCACGGCUAGAGUGUGUCAGAGGGGGGUAGAAUUCCACGUGUAGCAGUGAAAUGCGUAGAGAUGUGGAGGAAUACCGAUGGCGAAGGCAGCCCCCUGGGAUAACACUGACGCUCAUGCACGAAAGCGUGGGGAGCAAACAGGAUUAGAUACCCUGGUAGUCCACGCCCUAAACGAUGUCAACUAGUUGUUGGGGAUUCAUUUCCUUAGUAACGUAGCUAACGCGUGAAGUUGACCGCCUGGGGAGUACGGUCGCAAGAUUAAAACUCAAAGGAAUUGACGGGGACCCGCACAAGCGGUGGAUGAUGUGGAUUAAUUCGAUGCAAC